CUCCGACAGGUGAGCGAGCUCAGGUGAGCAGCGACGCCAAACCGUGGAUCAUCCCCGAAAUAACGGAGUGGGAGUGGGUGAAGGAGGAGGAGGGGAAAGGAGAGAGAAAAGCUGAUAUUCCUGAUCUGUCACGGGCAGAGAUCAUCUGGAUCUUCGUCCUUCAUCCUCUGACGCAUCAGAUCUCAGUCGCUCCUCACCAGCAGUGAUACUGUAAGGACUCUAUCAGACCGAAUGUAAGAUCAUUGUUUAAAUAUCCCCUUCCCCCAUGAGUUUCCAACCCCCUCAAGCUCCAAACGUCCCAUCCUCGUCACCGCGGCCGCUCCUCUUCAAACUUCUGCACCAUAGAAGACGAAGAAGAAGAAGAAGCUUUGAUAGCUGCCUGUCUCCGUGGCGACCAAUGAUUCCUUUUUUCAAUGGUUUCCUGAGCCGAUGAGGGGCAGAAACUGUUUGAGCGACACAAAGACAAAAGAAACAAACGUGAAAAAGAUGAAACCGUCGACUUCCUGUUGCAUCUGCAUGUUAAUACAUAAAAAUAUUCACACAA